rnacentral:rRNA from 1 species
CCUACGGGUGGCAGCAGUGGGGAUUAUUGCACAAUGGGCGCAAGCCUGAUGCAGCCAUGCCGCGUGUGUGAAGAAGGCCUUCGGGUUGUAAAGCACUUUCAGCGGGGAGGACGGCGUUAAGGUUAAUAACCUUGUCGAUUGACGUUACCCGCAGAAGAAGCACCGGCUAACUCCGUGCCAGCAGCCGCGGUAAUACGGAGGGUGCAAGCGUUAAUCGGAAUUACUGGGCGUAAAGCGCACGCAGGCGGUCUGUCAAGUCGGAUGUGAAAUCCCCGGGCUCGACCUGGGAACUGCAUUCGAAACUGGCAGGCUAGAGUCUUGUAGAGGGGGGUAGAAUUCCAGGUGUAGCGGUGAAAUGCGUAGAGAUCUGGAGGAAUACCGGUGGCGAAGGCGGCCCCCUGGACAAAGACUGACGCUCAGGUGCGAAAGCGUGGGGAGCAAACAGGAUUAGAUACCCGAGUAGUC